GAUGAAGAACGUAGCGAAAUGCGAUAAGUAAUGUGAAUUGCAGAAUUCAGUGAAUCAUCGAAUCUUUGAACGCACAUUGCGCCCAUCAGUAUUCUGGUGGGCAUGCCUGUUCGAGCGUCAUUCCAACCCCUAAGCACAGCUUACUGUUGGGACUCUACGGCCUCCGUAGUUCCCCAAAGCCAUUGGCGGAGUGGCAGUAGUCCUCUGAGCGUAGUAAUUCUUUAUCUCGCUUUUGUUAGGUGCUGCCCCCCCGGCCGUUAAACCCCCCAAUUUUUUUCUGGUUGACCUCGGAUCAGGUAGGAAUACCCGCUGAACUUAAGCAUAUCAAUAAGCGGAGGA
rnacentral:misc_RNA from 1 species